rnacentral:rRNA from 1 species
UGSGGCAGGCCUACACAUGCAAGUCGARCGGAUGAASGRAGCUUGCUCCUGGAUUCRGCGGCGGACGGGUGAGUAAUGCCUAGGAAUCUGCCUGGUAGUGGGGGAUAACGUCCGGAAACGGGCGCUAAUACCGCAUACGUCCUGAGGGAGAAAGUGGGGGAUCUUCGGACCUCRCGCUAUCAGAUGAGCCUAGGUCGGAUUAKCUAGUUGGUGGGGUAAAGGCCUACCMAGGCSACGAUCCGUAWCUGGUCUGAGAGGAUGAUCAGUCACACUGGAACUGAGACACGGUCCAGACUCCUACGGSAGGCAGCAGUGGGGAAUAUUGGACAAUGGGCGAAAGCCUGAUCCAGCCRUGCCSCGUGUGUGAAGAAGGUCUUCGGAUUGUAAAGCACUUUAAGUUGGGAGGAAGGGCAGURAGUUAAUACCUUGCUGUUUUGACGUUAYCRACASAAUAAGCACCGGCUAACUUCGUGCCAGCAGCCGCGGUAAUACGAAGGGUGCAAGCGUUAAUCGGAAUUACUGGGCGUAAAGCGCGCGUAGGUGGUUCAGCAAGUUGGAUGUGAAAUCCCCGGGCUCAACCUGGGAACUGCAUCCRAAACUACUGAGCUAGAGUACGGUAGAGGGUGGUGGAAUUUCMUGUGUAGCGGUGAAAUGCRUAGAUAUAGGAAUGAACACCAGUGGCGAGCGACMCUGGACUGAUACUGACACUGAGUGCGAAGCGUGGGAGCGAAMGAUAGAUACCCUGCUAGUCAGUCGUAACGAUKUCAACUAGCCKKKUGGGAWCCUKMMRAAUCUUUWAUUGAGC